rnacentral:misc_RNA from 1 species
GCUGGAUGUUAUUCCUUGUAAAAGAAAAUCUCUUCCUAUAGGCAAGCUCAUUAAAUAUGCUCAUGCUAAUCUACCUUGACAUACAAUAAUAAGUUCUCAAAACUCCACUGACAAAAUCAGUUGAAAAUUGAGGUUGUCCAAUAUGAAGCACAUUUAUUACCAGAAACUAAAGUUACUGAUAUUUCCAGUAAAAUUCAUCAUAUCUCUUUCUAUUUUCUUUUUAUUCGUUUUAUUCCUAAAUAACUCCUACAGAAUUAGAUGGGGCUAGUAAGUAGAAGUGAUGCAGAAUUUGUUCUACAUCAAUAAGAGAGCAUGGAUUUUCAUGAAUGGCCAUGCAAUACAAAUUAUGGAUUCACCAUCCAGACAAAUCAAUGUAAUUAAAGCUUGGAGGAUGCAAGAUAAUUGCACAUGAGAAAAAGGACUCGAUUGAAGUAGCAACAACAAUAACAAGUAGCACAUAAUUUAGAAAUGGGAAAAAGAACAGAAAUAAGCUAUAAACAAUAGGAAUAGCAACGGAGCGG